rnacentral:sRNA from 1 species
CCUGCUUUUUAAACUUUAAGAUGAUUCCUGUCUGGAUGAAAGCCCUCCACCGGCAGGCCGAGGCAAACUAAAGAAAAACAAGGUCAGGCUGCAUUUUUUUGGUAAGCACACAGGAAUCAACAAAGAGAUGUUAUAUAACUUCUAUUUAUAUCCUCCUUGCUCACUAUCUGCAGGCAGACAAGAGUCGCUGAGAAGGGAUUUAAUGAGCUCUCUGGGUUUGCUCACCUUCCUGAGCUGGUAGGAACCAGCUUGUUCUCAAAUGCGUCAGUAAAGAAUCUGGCUGUGGGUGGGCGGCCAGGGUAGGUGGACUGAGUGGUUGCCAUGGUGUUUUUUAAUUCCCCUGUCUCUCAG